GUCCACGCUGUAAACGAUGGGUGCUAGGUGUGGGAGGUGUCGACUCCUUCCGUGCCGAAGCUAACGCAUUAAGCACCCCGCCUGGGGAGUACGGCCGCAAGGCUAAAACUCAAAGGAAUUGACGGGGGCCCGCACAAGCAGCGGAGCAUGUGGUUUAAUUCGACGCAACCCGAAGAACCUUACCAGGGCUUGACAUGCACCGGAAUGUCGUAGAAAUACGGCAGCCCCUCACGGGGUCGGUGUGCAGGUGGUGCAUGGCUGUCGU
rnacentral:rRNA from 1 species